rnacentral:rRNA from 1 species
CAAUAGCGUAUAUUAAAGUUGUUGCAGUUAAAAAGCUCGUAGUCGGAUUUUGGCAUCACGCCGAACUGUCAGCCGAUUGGUUUGUACGGUUUGGCGGGUGCUCUCCUUCCGGAAGCUCGUUCCCUUCUUAGUUGACGGGUUCGAUGGUUCCGGGUCUUUUACUUUGAAAAAAUUAGAGUGUUCAAAGCAGGCCUAUGCUCUGAAUAGGUUAGCAUGGAAUAAUAGAAUAGGACUUUGGUUCUAUUUUGUUGGUUUCUAGGACCGAAGUAAUGAUUAAUAGGGACAGUUGGGGGCAUUCAUAUUCCAAUGUCAGAGGUGAAAUUCUUGGAUUAUCGGAAGAUGAACUUCUGCGAAAGCAUCUGCCAAGGAUGUUUNCAUUGA